ACGGGAGGCAGCAGUGGGGGAUAUUGCACAAUGGGGGAAACCCUGAUGCAGCAACGCCGCGUGAAGGAAGAAGGUCUUCGGAUUGUAAACUUUUGUCUUAUGGGAAGAAGAAAGUGACGGUACCAUAGGAGGAAGCCACGGCUAACUACGUGCCAGCAGCCGCGGUAAUACGUAGGUGGCAAGCGUUGUCCGGAUUUACUGGGUGUAAAGGGCGUGUAGACGGGAUUGCAAGUCAGAUGUGAAAUUUAUGGGCUUAACCCAUAACCUGCAUUUGAAACUGUAGUUCUUGAGUAAUGGAGAGGUAAGCGGAAUUCCUAGUGUAGCGGUGAAAUGCGUAGAUAUUAGGAGGAACACCGGUGGCGAAGGCGGCUUACUGGACAUUUACUGACGUUGAGGCGCGAAAGUGUGGGGAGCAAACAGGAUUAGAUACCCUGGUA
rnacentral:rRNA from 1 species